rnacentral:piRNA from 1 species
UUGUAACUUUCCUUAUAGGGAUGCCUCCGCU